UCCUACGGGAGGCAGCAGUGGGGAAUAUUGGACAAUGGGGGGAACCCUGAUCCAGCCAUGCCGCGUGUGUGAAGAAGGCCCUCGGGUUGUAAAGCACUUUCAGUGAGGAAGAACGCCUGGUGGUUAAUACCCAUCAGGAAAGACAUCACUCACAGAAGAAGCACCGGCUAACUCCGUGCCAGCAGCCGCGGUAAUACGGAGGGUGCGAGCGUUAAUCGGAAUUACUGGGCGUAAAGCGCGCGUAGGUGGCUUGAUAAGCCGGUUGUGAAAGCCCCGGGCUCAACCUGGGAACGGCAUCCGGAACUGUCAAGCUAGAGUGCAGGAGAGGAAGGUAGAAUUCCCGGUGUAGCGGUGAAAUGCGUAGAGAUCGGGAGGAAUACCAGUGGCGAAGGCGGCCUUCUGGACUGACACUGACACUGAGGUGCGAAAGCGUGGGUAGCAAACAGGAUUAGAUACCCUGGUAGUCCA
rnacentral:rRNA from 1 species